rnacentral:rRNA from 1 species
UACGUAGGGGGCAAGCGUUGUCCGGAUUUAUUGGGCGUAAAGAGCUCGUAGGCGGUUUCGUAAGUCGAGUGUGAAAAAUCUGGGCUCAACCCAGUGGAGCACUCGAUACUGCGGUGACUGGAGUACGGUAGAGGAGUGUGGAAUUCCUGGUGUAGCGGUGAAAUGCGCAGAUAUCAGGAGGAACACCGACGGCGAAGGCAGCACUCUGGGCCGGUACUGACGCUGAGGAGCGAAAGCGUGGGGAGCAAACAGG